rnacentral:rRNA from 1 species
GUGGGGAAUAUUGCACAAAUGGGGGAAACCCUGAUGCAGCGACGCCGCGUGGAGGAAGAAGGUCUUCGGAUUGUUAAACUCCUGUUGUACGGGGACGAUAAUGACGGUACCCGACAAGAAGUGACGGCUAACUACGUGCCAGCAGCCGCGGUAAAACGUAGGUCACAAGCGUUGUCCGGAAUUACUGGGUGUAAAGGGAGCGCAGGCGGGAAGACAAGUUGGAAGUGAAAUCUACGGGCUCAACUCGUAAAUUGCUUUCAAAACUGUUUUCUUGAGUAGUGCAGAGGUAGCGGAAUUCCCGGUGUAGCGGUGGAAUGCGUAGAUAUCGGGAGGAACACCAGUGGCGAAAGGCGGCCUACUGGGCACCAACUGACGCUGAGGCUCGAAAGUAUGGGUAGCAAACAGGAUUAGAUACCCC